rnacentral:rRNA from 1 species
UACGUAGGGAGCAAGCGUUGUCCGGAAUCAUUGGGCGUAAAGCGCGCGUAGGCGGCCUCAUAAGUCCGUUGUGAAAGUCAAAGGCUCAACCUUUGAAAGCCGAUGGAUACUGUGAGGCUAGAGUCCGGAAGAGGCGAGUGGAAUUCCUGGUGUAGCGGUGGAAUGCGCAGAUAUCAGGAGGAACACCGAUGGCGAAGGCAGGUCUCUGGGCCACUACUGACGCUGAGAAGCGAAAGCAUGGGGAGCGAACAGG